rnacentral:rRNA from 1 species
GGAGUUAGCCGGUGCUUCUUCUGUGAGUGAUGUCCUUCCUGCCGGCUAUUAACCCGCAGGCCUUCUUCCUCACUGAAAGUGCUUUACAACCCGAAGGCCUUCUUCACACACGCGGCAUGGCUGGAUCAUGGUUGCCCCCAUUGUCCAAUAUUCCCCACUGCUGCCUCCCGUAGGAGUCUGGGCCGUGUCUCAGUCCCAGUGUGGCUGAUCAUCCUCUCAGACCAGCUACGGAUCGUCGCCUUGGUGAGCCGUUACCUCACCAACCAGCUAAUCCGACAUAGGCUCAUCCGAUAGCGCGAGGCCCGAAGGUCCCCCGCUUUCCCCCGUAGGGCGUAUGCGGUAUUAGCCUGGGUUUCCCCAGGUUAUCCCCCACUACCGGGCAGAUUCCUAUGCAUUACUCACCCGUCCGCCGCUCGCCACCAGGGAGCAAGCUCCCCGUGCUGCCGCUCGACUUGCAUGUGUUAGGCCUGCCGCCACGCGUUCAUCUGACGACGAUACGAAUACUAACGUACUGACGCGGACGCGGGCGAGGCGACGACGACG